rnacentral:misc_RNA from 1 species
GAUGAGAACGUAGUGAAAUGCGAUAAGUAAUGUGAAUUGCAGAAUUCAGUGAAUCAUCGAAUCUUUGAACGCACCUUGCGCCCUUUGGCUAUUCCGAAGGGCAUGCCUGUUUGAGUAUCGUGAACACCUCAACUCUCAUGGUUUGCCAUGAUGAGCUUGGACUUUGGGGGUUUUGCUGGCCUUUGGUCGGCUCCUCUCAAACGGAUCAGCUUUCCAGUGUUUGGUGGCGUCACGGGUGUGAUAACUAUCUACGCCUGUGGUUUUCUGCCAGAUAACCUUCAGCGAUGGAGGUUCGCUGGGGCUCAUAAAUGUCUCUCUUCAGUGGAGACAGCUUUUUGGACGUUUGAUCUCAAAUCAGGUAGGACUACCCGCUGAACUUAAGCAUAUCAAUAAGCGGAGGA